CGCGCAGGCGGUUGGUCAAGUCCGGCGUGAAAUCUCCUGGCUCAACUGGGAGAGGUCGUUGGAAACUGAUCGGCUUGAGGCGAUGAGAGGGGUACGAAUUCCAGGUGUAGUGGUGGAAUGCGUAGAUAUCUGGAGGAACACCAGUGGCGAAAGCGGUACCCUGGCAUUUGCCUGACGCUCAUGUGCGAAAGCGUGGGGAGCGAACG
rnacentral:rRNA from 1 species